CCCUGUACGGUGCUCCCGUGUGGUCGC
rnacentral:sRNA from 1 species